UCUCAGGUGGCUCAGUGAUAAAGAAUCUGCCUGCCAAGCAGGAGACCCAGGUUCAAUCCCUGGUCUAGGAA
rnacentral:tRNA from 1 species